rnacentral:rRNA from 1 species
ACGGAAGGUGCAAGCGUUAGUCGGAAUUACUGGGCGUAAAGGGUGCGUAGGCUGGAAUAUAAGUUGGUUGUGAAAUACCGGAGCUCAACUUCGGAACAGCAAACAAUACUGUAUUUCUCAGAGGAGUGGCGGAGAGAAUGGAAUUCCAUGUGUAGCGGUGAAAUGCGUAGAUAUAUGGAAGAACACCUGUGGCGAAAGCGGUUCUCUAGCUUCCUCCUGACGCUGAGGCACGAAAGCAAGGGGAGCAAACAG